rnacentral:tRNA from 1 species
GUUUUUAUAGUGUAACCCCCAACAUAUCGCAUUUUCGUUGCGAAGCUGAAACCAAUUUCUAAAAACU